rnacentral:lncRNA from 1 species
AUAUACAAUGUAUAUUCACUUUUACUACCAACUGAUAAAUUAAAACAAUCUUUACCAUUCAGUGAUAACAAGCACUUUUUUUACAUUUUAAUAUGUAUUUAAAUGAGUAGUUAUUGUUGCAAACUCCAUUAGAAAUUUGAAUUGAGAUCAGUUUUGGAAUAAGGGAAAGGGGGAUGUGAAAAAAAAAUUGGGGGGGGGGGGUUCAAUUUUUUUCAUUUCAGAUUUCAUAAAUAAAAAGAAAAUUUCUUCAAACAUUUUUUUGAGAGGAUAAAUAUUCAACAGCAUAGUGAAUUGCUCAAAGGCAAAAAAAUUUUUUAAGUUCAUUAGACCACAUUCAUUAUGUGUCAGAAACCUAUGAUGUGUCAACUAUUUAAUCACAAUCCAAAUUUAGAGCUGAAUCCAGCUUGAAUGUUGUGUCCAUACUUGCCCCAACCGUUCAGGGUUCAACCUCUGCGGUCGUAUAAAGCUGCGCCCUGCGGAGCAUCUGUUGCACAAUAACUUUAGUAUAAGUUAAUAGAAAUCUAUGAAAAUUUAAACACAAGUUAUGACCAAAAGAAAGUUUGAUUGAUUUGGGAGUUUUGGUCCCAACGAAUUAGGGACCAAAAGGGUCCAAAACUAAACUUUGUUUGAAUUCAUCAAAAAUUGAACUAUUGGGGUUCUUUGAUAUACCGAAUCCAACGGGUAUUUAGAUUCUUAAUUUUGUCCCGUUUCAAAUUGGUCUACAUUAGUCCAAAGGUCAAAAUUAAACUUAGUUUAGAACAAAAAAUUGAAUUCUUGGGGUUCUUUGAUAUGCUAGAUUUAAAUAUGUACUUAAUUUUUUGAUAAUGGGCCCAGUUUUCAAGUUGGUCCAAAUCAGGGUCCAAAAUUAAACUUUGUUUGAUUUCAACAAAAAUUGAAUAUAUGUUCUUCAAUAUGAAUCUAAUCAUGUAUUGAUUUUUAAUAUUUAGGACCGGUUAUCAAAUUGGUCCACAUUGAGUCUAAAGGGUCCAAAAUUGAACUUAUUUUUCAUCAAAAUUGAAUUCUGGGUUCUUUGAUAUGAUGAAUCAAACCAUGUAUUUAGAUUUUGAAUAUUGGAAUACAAAGGGAAUAAGAAUUGUCUUUGGGAGUUAUGCUCAAAUUGUUAAGGAAUAAGGUGCAAAAAUGGGGGAAAGGGUUUCCAGGUUAAUGGGCAAUUAAGUACAAAACAUAAUUUAAAAGCAGUAUAAGGUUGGUAAUUGAAACUCAUUUUAAUAGCUCACAUAAACUGCUCUUAAAUUAUGUAUAUUGGAAAUUUGCCAAAAACUUUGUUAUUAAUGAAUUCCAUUGGAAAUUUGCCAAAAACUUUAGUUUAAUGAACUUCAUUGGAAAUUUGCCAAUAUAAAAUGUUGGAUUGUAGUCAAAUCAACUUAAAUCAUGACUGUAUGACAUUUUAUAUUUUAUGAUGUAUUUAAAUGAGUAGUUAUUGUUGAAAACUUCAUUAGAAAUUUGAAUUGAAAUCAUUUUUAGUGGAAGAAGACGUCAAGUCUUCUGAAGACUUAAGGGGCCGACCAUUGGCAUUGAGUCUCCGUAUGCCGCAUUCAUUUCGUGUAUUACAAUUUCAAAACAACUUAGAUUCCUGACACCGAUUUUUACACAUGAUUGGGCAUCUGAAUCAUUUAAUUUGUACAAUCACUAUCGUAAAUAUGACCCUUUUAUUUAUGUAAAUUAUUAGAUUUCAUCUCAUCCACAUGAACGUAAUUUGUUUACUUGUAACAGGAUGUUUUAACUGUAGAUAUUUGUAUUACGCAUGCGUGAAUUUGGUAUCGGUACAACUCGCCCUGUUUACAAGUUCGCCCUUGAAGUUACGAAUUUGCAAUCCUGCAGACAAGAAGAUUUUAUUUUUAUAUAAAUAAAAAGGAUAUAUAAAGUGUUGUCUUUAUUCAUGGGUUUCCUUUGUCAUGUGAAUUAGAUGCCCUUCGUAACAUACAUGUGAACCUCCCGUUUAGGAGAAAAAAACUCCCGUGUAUGAAAUUUUUCAGACGCCAUAUUUGAUCAUUUCUUACUACUGUACGGGUGUAAUUGACACCUGUGUUAAAUUUUACCUGAACAUCAAAGAAGAUGUAUAAUUAUAUGGCUUCACUUGACAGCUUGGGUGUCAAACAUACUGGUAAUCAACGAUGUUUACCUCCGGCUAACUGCCGUUGUGUUAUCAAAACGAUGUGUAUUGGGAAUAUUGAAAUACUUUUUUGUUACUUCCCUUUGUUUUAUCCUGUUUUCAGUUAUUUUGCUUUUAAAAAUGUAAAUGGUAAAAAGACUAUAAAUGAUUAAUAUUUUAAUCAAAUAAUCAUAAAAGGAUGUUGAUUAAAUGAAUUUAAAUGAUUUUGGACAAAUAAAAAAAUUAAAAAUUUAUAAAUUAUUUUAUUAAUUUAGACCUCCUUUCAAGGAUUAAAUUGAAGUUUAUAUAUUAAAUUUGUUUAUAACUGGUUAGAAGUCAACAUACAAUAUGUGCAACUAGGCUAAUAGUCUAGCUUCUGCUAGCUUCAUGUAUAAUUUUUCUACCGAUUUAAUAUAUAAACUAGAAUUAUGCAAACAGACUUAAGGAAAAGGCAUGUAAGUCAUGUAAGUUCAUACAAAUAUGACACUUUUUCUAGACAAUCCAGAUCUUGCAAAAUACAUCGCUAAAAAUUGUAACCUUUAAUUUUGUUGUUGUGCAGUAAAAACCCAUAUGGGAACUUUCAAAAGUUGGCAGGUAUGUAACAAGUCUUACUAUUUUUAUGCUCCAUUUAUGGGCAAUAUGUUUUCUAGUCUGUCCGUCCGUCCUGCUUCUGGUUAUAAAGUUUAUGGUCGAGGUAGUUUUUGAUGAAGUUGAAAUCCAAUCAACUUGAAACUUAGUACACAUGUGUUCCUCUUGAUAUGAUCUUCUUAAUUACUGCCAAAUUAAAGAUUUUACCUAAUUUUCAUAGUCAACUGAACAUAGAAAAUGAUUGUACGGAUGGGAAAUCCAUGUACUUAUGACCUUUUCUUGUUUGAAGAAAAAAAAAUACAUUUUAACGAUAAUGGAACAAAGCAGCCUGGGUAAGUGGGGCUGCUUUUAUGGUAAUUCAAGUUACCUUUUAUUCACCUUCUUCCACUUCAGAGCUAUCAGCUCUUUGAUUAAAGGCAGUGCUUUAAGGCCUGACUUUCAAGUCAUGAGGUACAUCUUUUCAUACGCACGUCCAACAAAUAUGUAGGGGUCAUUUUGGCCAGAAAUAGAUCCGGAAAUGUUCAAUUUUCUCCUCUCCCUUUUAUGGUAUGAUGUGGUUUUUGUUUCUUUCAUUUACAUUGGGAAAUAAAGAAACGAUCAGUGUGUAUUGUUCGUUUUAAAAAACUUGUUAUUAAUGUGUAUUUUGCAUUAUAAGCAGUCAACCUGAUUACAAACUAUCAUUAUUUGUAUUCCGUGUGGAAAGAGGUCGGGUCAAUUUCGAGUGUUAUCUGACAUCUAAAGAUUUUUUAAUCAGUUCAGACGUUGAUAUAACAAUGAAAGGUCGACUGAACAUGAUUAAUAUUGCAUUUUCUAUCAUUCAAAGCGGAAUUCGGUUUAUGAACGAGAAACCGUAAGCGUUUUCAAUUUCGGUAUUAGUUAUGUAUGUUGUCUACGUAUUAUCCUGGUUCCCGCUACUACGUUCCGGGCAUUAGCUAUUUGAUAUAUGUGUAACAUUACGAUCGGGUACCAGUCAAUCUACGCGUGUAUGUGUAUAUGAUUUCCCGCCAAAAUGACCGACUUACAGCUAUGGAAAAAUAGUUCAUAAACGUUCCGUAUAAUGAUAUGCAAAUUCAUAAUUGAUCGUAACUGGUUUUUUUAUCUUAUAUAAUAAGUAUAACAAAAUGGAUUCCACAAAUAGAAAAAUGGCAUUAUUUUACGAGGAUUUCUCAUAUUAUUUUUCACUUCCGGCGCAGUAAUACGUAUGUUUUGAAGAAGCUCGAAGAAUUUGACAGACAAAGUGAAUUGAGAAGGAAACAGAUAGAUAUCAGGUAAAACAAUUUAAAUGUACAGAACAAAAAGAUUCACUUCACACAAAUAGUAGAAGCUUAAGCAUUUUAUUGUCUGAUACACGACUCUAGUCUAGUGUUUAAACGACGGUGGUGACCUACAACCACUGGCACGGGUCAUACUGGGUCAAGUCUAAAUAUGUAAACAUAUCCACGUGAUUUUAGGUAGAAAGUAACGUAAUGCAAUAUAUCUACCAUUGUCUCCUCCUUUAUACAUAGUUUAACCAGAUAUAUUUCUCUUACACAUAACACGGGUUGUAUGUACGUAUCUUUUCUCUUGAUGUAGACCUAGUGUUUUCUUGUCCUUAACAUUUGUUGAUGUUUAAAUAUUUCUGAACGACUGAAUGAAUGCAACAAUUAUAUACUGAAGACUAGGGCUGUACAAUAAUAGUGUAAACUAGAAAAGAGAACUUCUACCUUUACCAUUUUGCUGCCACCAUCAUUGGCAUCAAUUAACUGAUUGAGUUUGCCCAUUUUGGAUACGCAUGUAGUGUGUUCAAGUUCUUGUUUACUUGUUACGAAUUAACCGCAAUACAGAGACCAAUCUCUUGUUAAAUGUUAACGUAACGUAUUGUAACGUCACAUAAUUAUUAGGUCUUUCUAUCAUUACAUCUUCCUGUAGAAAAAAAUCUCGGGAGAAGAUAAUAAAAUAUACUAUAUUAUCAGUACACAAGUUUCAAUAAGAUUUUUUUUUAAAGGCAGUGCUUUAAGGCCUGACUUUUAAGUCAUCGUGUUCAUCUUUCCUUAUGCGACAUCCAACAAAUCUAUGCUGGGGGUCAUUUGGCCAGAAAUAGAUCCGGAAAUGUUUAAUUUUCUCCUUCUUUUUGUGGUAUGAAAUGGUUUUGUUUCUUUCAUUUACAUUGGGAAAUAAAGAAAUGAUCAGUGUGUAUUGUUUGUUUUAAAACCUUUUUUAUUAAUGUGUAUUUUGCAUUAUAAGCAGUCAACCUGAUUACAAACUAUCAUUAUUUGAAUUCCGUGUGGAAAGAGGUCGGGUCAAUUUCGAGUACUAUCUGCGAUCUAAAGAUAUUUUUAAAUCAUUUCAGUCGUUGAUAUUACAAUUAAAAGUCGACUGAACAUGAAUUAUAUUGCAUAUUAUACAAUUUAAAAGCUAUUUCUGUACGUGAAGCCGUAUGACGUUAUAGUUAUUUUCGGUCUCAGUUAUAUAAAGUAUGAAUUGAUCGUUACUGAAUAUGUGGCGCUGUUGUAGCCGAUCUGGGUCUCACUAAUUAGAGACACGAAGCGUCAAGAAUACUACUUAGCGACAAUUAAGAAAUAUAUACUGUUAUUUAUAUAAUCGCCAUGCAAUCAAACCACAGUCUGUUUGUAACCUCAAUUAUCGUUUUAGAAUUAAAAAAUGGGGUUAAUUCAAGACGUCAUAAUUUUUGGGAUUACGAUUCAAUGUCAUCUGUUUGAGAUUUUUUGGUGAAUGCUACAAUAAUAAGGUUUUCCUACAAGAGGUAUAUCAUACUGAGAAUUAUUUUAGCAGUAAUUAUGUUAAUUUAUGAUGUAAUGACAGGAAUGCCUCAUAGGCUUUCUUGAAAAAUAUCAAUGACAAUGAAACAUGAAGAGAUGCUCUCUUCUAUAUUAUAGUUAUUUAGGUAUGUGUGUUGCAUAAGUCUUUCACAAGUUUCAAAAAAGCUAAUGUUAUAAAACUUUUUUUCAGGGCACAAACCCACCUUAAAGAGACUUGUCUACUGCCAUUCCCAGCCUAUUUUCAUGCACCAUUUGCAAGCAAGAGACUGAAUGGUUUGCAAAAAUAAAAAUCAGGACGGUGUCCCGUUAAACCAAAAGAACUAAACUGGAUGAAUAUUGUAGGAGAAAUCUAGAGGAAAGUUUUGAUUUGUGAAAUUGGUUUUCCUGAAAAGUCAUUCAUCCUGCAGAAAGGAUUUAUAACUGUCCACCACCAACUGACGAGCUAAUGUUGAGCUUCACAGAUGGAAUUACUCAAACACCAUCAAUGCCUAUGUUUUCAGCACAGAUUUCGCAAAUCAUGACACAGCCGUGCAUUUUUUUUACCUGUUAAGAGUCGUAUACUAAAUUUUAUUUUUAUAUAAAUAAAUUUAUAUUGUGUCAUUUUAGAACUUGUAUUUUGCCAAAGGAUGCAUAAAUGAAAGUGGUGCAAUUCAUUUUGCUUUGAUAUAUAGAUUUGAAUUACAAUUGUUCAUGUUAUUGUAAUGCAUAUAAAAAUAAGGAGAUGUGGUAUAUACAUGAUAUUUAGUGAGUUUAUCAAACUAAAGUGCAUAAGAAAUGGGUAUAAGCAGUUACAGGUACUACUGUACAAUCUCCAACAAUGAGAAAAACUCAUACCGUAAAGAGAAUUUCAUAGAUUUACAAGUAAGUUUUGUUUUUACGUUGCAUCAUUUUUAUACGACCGCAAAAAUUUUAAUUUUUCGUCGUAUAUUGCUAUCACGUUGGCGUCGUCGUCUGCGUCGUCGUCGUCCGAAUCUUUUAGUUCUCCGCAUCAAAUUAGUAAAAGUAAUAGAAAUCUAUGAAAUUUAGCACAGGUUUGACCAUAAAAGGAAGGUUGAAUGAUUUUGGUGUUUUGUCCAAGUUUAGGAUAAGGGGCCAAAAAGGGCCCACAUAGCAUUUUUCUUUGUUUUAGCAAAUAACUUUAGAAUAAGUAACAGAAAUCUAUGAAGUUUUAACAAUAGGUCUAUUACCACAAAGGAAGGUUGGGAUUGAAUUUGGGAGUUUAAGUUCCAACAGUUUAGGAAUUAGGCCAAAAACAGGUCAAAAUAAGUGUUUUUCUGGUUUUAUACGACCGCAAAAUUGUGAAAAUUUUUUGGUCGUAUAUUGGUAUCAUGUUGGCGUCGUCGUCGUCGUCGUCGUCGUCGGCCGAAUACUUUUAGUUUUCGCACUCUAACUUAAGUAAAUGGUAAUAGAAAUCUAUGAAAUUUUAACACAAGGUUUCGUACCACAAAAGGAAGGUUGGGAUUGAUUUUGGGAGUUUUGGUCCCAACAUUUUAGGAAUUAGGGGCCAAAAAGGGCCCAAAUAAGCAUUUUCUUGGUUUUCGCACUAUAACUUUAGUUUAAGUAAAUAGAAAUCUAUGAAAUUUUACACAAAGGUUUAUGACCACAAAAGAAAGGUUGGGAUUGAUUUUGGGAGUUUUGGUUUCCAACAGUUUUAGGAAUUAGGGGCCAAAAAAGGGCCCAAAUAAGCAUUAUUCUUGGUUUUUCGCACAUAACUUUAGUUUAAGUAAAUAGAAAUCAAUGAAAUUUAAACACAAGGUUUUAUGACCACAAAAGGAAGGUUGGUAUUGAUUUUGGGAGUUGAGGUCCCAACAGUUUAGGAAUUAGGGGCCAAAAAGGGGCCCAAAUAAGCAUUAUUUUUGGUUUUCGCACCAUAACUUUAGUAUAAGUAAAUAGAAAUCUAUGAAAUUUAAACACAAGGUUUAUGACCAUAAAAGGAAGGUUGGGUUUGAUUUUGGGAGUUUUGGUCCAACAGUUUAGUAUAUAAGGGGCCCAAAGGGUCCAAAAUUGAACUUGUUUGAUUUUAUCAAAAAUUGAAUAAUUGGGGUUCUUUGAUAUGCCGAAUCUAACUGUGUAUGUAGAUUCUUAAUUUUUGGUCCCGUUUUCAAAUUGGUCUACAUUAAGGUCCAAAGGGUCCAAAAUUAAACUUAGUUUGAUUUUAACAAAAAUUGAAUCCUUGGGAUUCUUUGAUAUGCUGAAUCUAAAAAUGUUACUUAGAUUUUUAUUAUUGGCCCAGUUUUCAAGUUGGUCCAAAUCGGGUCCAAAUUAAACUUUGUUUGAUUUUAUCAAAAUUGAAUAAUUGGGGUUCUUUGAUAUGCCAAAUCUAACUGUGUAUGUAGAUUCUUAAUUUUUGUCCGUUUUCAAAUUGGUCUACAUUAAAGUCCAAAGGGUCCAAAAUUAACUAAGUUUGAUUUUAACAAAAAUUGAAUUCUUGGCUUUUGAUAUGCUGAAUCUAAACAUGUACUUAGAUUUUUGAUUAUGGGCCCCAGUUUUCAAGUUGGUUCAAAUCAGGAUCCAAAAUUAUUAUAUUAAGUAUUGUGCAAUAGCAAGAAAUUUUUCAAUUGCACAGUAUUCAGCAAUAGCAAGAAAUCUCAAUUGCACAGUAUUGUGCAAUAGCAAGAAAUUUUCAAUUGCACAGUAUUGCACAAUAGCAAGAAAUCUUCAAUUGCACAGUAUUGUGGCAAUAGCAAAUAUUUUCAAUUGCACAGUAUUGCGCAAUAGCAAGAAAUAUCUAAUUGCACAAUAUUGUGCAAUAGCAAGAAAUUUUCAAUUGAUUGGAGUUAUCUUUCUUUGUCCAGAAUAGUAGUUGAAUCAACUUAAAUCAUUGUUUUAUACAAUAUACAAUGUAUAUUCACUUUACUACCAACUGAUAAAUUAAAACAAUCUUUACCAUUCAGUGAUAACAAGCACUUUUUUACAUUUUAAUAUUUUAUGAUGUAUUUAAAUGAGUAGUUAUUGUUGCAAACUCCAUUAGAAAUUUGAAUUGAGAUCAGUUUUGGAAAAGGGAAAGGGGAUGUGAAAAAAAGGGGGGGGGGGGGUUAAUUUUUCUCAUUUCAGAUUUCAUAAAUAAAAAGAAAAUUUCUUCAAACAUUUUUUUGAGAGGAUUAAAUAUCAACAGCAUAGUGAAUUGCUCAAAGAAAAAAAUAUUUUAAGUUCAUUAGACCACAUUCAUUCUGUGUCAGACACUAUGCUGUGCACUUUUAAUCACAAUCCAAUUUAGAGUGAAUCCAGCUUGAAUUUUGUCAUACUUGCCCACCGUUCAGGGUUCAACCUCUGCGGUCGUAUAAAGCUGCGCCCUGCUGAGCAUCUGGUCUUCUAUUGUCAUGAUUGUCUUAAUUGCAAAUAUGGGAAGUGGUUAAAAUGCUAAUGAGACAGCUAUUAUAAAUGACCACCAGAUGUCAUUGUUUUCUUAAUUAAAAACUCCUUUUUCAUUCAUACCGGUAAAUUACUUUAUCAUGUUUAUACUGAAAAAUAAUUUUGCUUGGAGUUAGAAAAAAUAUGGUCAUCAAAAGAGUUGACAUGUUACUAUGUAUACAUUUACCAUUAUGUUACUUGAUGUUCUUGUAAUACACACAGUACGGUGACUAGUCAAUCUUUGUGAACUACUUUUCAUAGGAUUGGAGUCAUUGAAUAUGCGUAUAUAAUCAAUAAUUAAAAAUAGUCUACUUUAUGUUAAUAAGGA